rnacentral:lncRNA from 1 species
ACAAGUCAAUCAGCCAUCACGAAGUGCUGCUGUCAGCAAGGUCUCCAUGGCGUGUGGGAGGACACAAAGGAGAGGCAUCUAAAUUAAGCUGGAGUCAAGAAUGACCAUAAUGAGGCUCCUGGGACCAACCAUAGGUUAAAGAAAAACCAUCUGGUGCUGAGAAUCCAAAGGCAGCGGGAAAUCCUCAACAGGAACUGGAGAGGUUGGAGAAAUAAUAGAGCAGAAGCCACCUGGAAGCAGGGGCCCAAACAACAGGGCAGGUUGUUAGCUGCAUUGCACAUAGAAGGGUAGAAGAGGAAGAAUGAUUUUACUUCUUGACAAAGAAGAAGAAGGAAAGACGUCUGCAGGGUAAGCAUGUCUGGGAGUCCCUGCCACCUGCUGCCAUUCAUUUAAUCAUCCCUGGGAGCCGGACUGCAGGCCCUGUGCCAGGCUGUCAGCAGCAGAAACUGGCAAGGAGAGAGCUCACUCAGCAGCUAUUAGAUACCAGGGCCUGCCCACCAGUUACAGUGUGAACUGGGGACUGGAGGAACAGGAAGCAAUGGCUGAUCUCAGCAGUCAGCAGGAGGAAAAGUAAGGCAGAACUGAAAUGUAUGAUGUGUUUACUUUGUUAUCAGCACUGUGUCAUGCUAAGUACCUUUGAAAUGUCUCUUCUUCUCAUUCCUCGAAAUAGUCCUACUAAGUAG